rnacentral:rRNA from 1 species
UUCCAGCUCUAAUAGCGUAUAUUAAUGUUGUUGCAGUUAAAAAGCUCGUAGUUGGAUUUUGGUGUUUGACAAAUGGCCUGCCUUCGGGUUUGCGCUGUUUGUUGGCACUUCUUUUCUGGGGAACUCACUGCUCUUAAUUGAGGGGUGCUGUAACGCAGAUCGUUUACUUUGAAAAAAUUAGAGUGUUCAAAGCAGGCCAACGCAUUGAAUACAUUAGCAUGGAAUAAUGGAAUAGGACUUUGGUCUUAUUUUGUUGGUUUCUAAGGCCGAGGUAAUGAUUAAUAGGGAUAGUUGGGGGCGUUUAUAUUCCGUUGUCAGAGGUGAAAUUCUUGGAUUUACGGAAGAUAAACUACUGCGAAAGCAUUCGCCAAGGAUGUUUUCAUUA